UACGUAGGCAGCGAGCGUUGUUCGGAGUUUACUGGGCGUAAAGGGUGUGUAGGCGGUUGUUUAAGUUUGGUGUGAAAUCUCCCGGCUCAACUGGGAGGGUGCGCCGAAUACUGAAUGACUAGAGUGCGGGAGAGGAAAGUGGAAUUCCUGGUGUAGCGGUGAAAUGCGUAGAUAUCAGGAGGAACACCGGUGGUGUAGACGGCUUUCUGGACCGUAACUGACGCUGAGACACGAAAGCGUGGGUAGCAAACAGG
rnacentral:rRNA from 1 species